UAUUUUAACAAGUCAUUUUAAUAUUUGUAACCUUAAAGAAACGACGACUACCCACCAACUCUUAAUAUCACAAAUUAGAGAAUCAAAUUCAUUAUUUAAAGAGGCGACCAUCAUUUAUAGAAUAGCAAUCAUAAAACAAGAUGAAACUUAAAUGCAAAUAACAUAAAGUAGCCCUUCAAGAGCAUAACAGGUUAAAAUCCCCAUCAAAAGAAUGACCCAUGACAUAUAGGAGCCACGGAUAGCCAUAGAAAGUG
rnacentral:lncRNA from 1 species